GGGGAUUGACAGUCCGUAAGACAAUCNAUUUCUAGUGGCGAACGGGUGAGUAACACGUAGGCGACCUGCCCCGGAGAGGGGGACAACGGCUCGAAAGGGCAGCUAAUACCCCAUUCAUCUCAUCGAGAUUAGAGGCACGAUGAGGAAAAGGAGAAAUCCGCUCUGGGAGGGGCCUGCGGCCCAUCAGGUAGUUGGUGAGGUAACGGCUCACCAAGCCGAAGACGGGUAGGGGGCCUGAGAGGGUGGUCCCCCACACGGGCACUGAGAGACGGGCCCGACUCCUACGGGAGGCAGCAGUAAGGGAUAUUGCGCAAUGGGCGAAAGCCUGACGCAGCAACGCCGCGUGUCCGAGGAAGGCCUUCGGGUCGUAAAGGACUUUUGGGGCUGAAGAGCGAGGACGGUAAGCCCCGAAUAAGUGUCGGCUAAUUACGUGCCAGCAGCCGCGGUAAAACGUAGGACGCGAGCGUUAUCCGGAGUUACUGGGCGUAAAGGGCAGGCAGGCGGACAGACAAGCGUUGUGUGAAAUCUCCGUGGCUUAACCGGGAGGGAGCAUGGCGGACUGUCUGACUAGAGGGCAGCAGAGGAGCGUGGAAUUCCCGGUGUAGCGGUGAAAUGCGUAGAUAUUGGGAGGAACACCGGUGGCGAAGGCGGCUCU
rnacentral:rRNA from 1 species